AACCAAGAUGGCGCAUUCAAAAUAACAACAACAACAACAACAAGAAAAUAAGCCCUGGUUGUUCUGUUUCUGAUCAAUACAACUAAAUCACAGUGUUGAGCGGCUCAUGCAGAUCACUGCAGAUAUCCAGAGUAACACACAGUCUUCCUCACAUGGCGGUGGGCGGAGCUACCAGACUUUGAGCUUGAACCUGCCAAGUGGAGGGAGGGGCUGCCAGAAGGUAUACUCGAGAGUGAUUGACAUUUGUCGGACACGCCCCCUCGGCUCUGAUUGGCUGUGUUGCUCCAGAGUGGUGGAUUCUGGCAAAUCACAUUACAGCCACUGGGUGGAGCCACAGACAGCUGACCUGUAUCGGAUUCUACUGUCAGAUCAUGAUAGUUUUAGCAAAGAUACCAAGAAUAGUUCCAUGAAGGGGAGUUAAGUUUUUUCUUAUUUGGACAUGUCUGCUAGUGACAGAUGGGGUCCUGUUGCAGAAUGCAUGAUGCAGCUGUCGCAUAUUAAAAACCACAGUGAAAAAAUCAUAAUCUCACUUGCUGCUCCGUGAUUUUUUUAUAAGGAGCCACAUUAAGGACUUUGUACCUUCAAAAAAUGUCUCCUCCACUUAUGUAACACUGCUACCAGCCUGCUUCAGUCAUUUAGAAAUAAAACUUCUUGAUCAGACGAGGCCACAGAUCCCAGUGAUGUCACAUAUCAUGAAGCUCCUCUAACCCCUUUUACUGCAUUACGCCAUAAUAUCUGCAGCAGCAUCAGAACAAUAAGAAAACACUCAGUACUAACAACCUCUCAGGUUCCUCCAUGUGAUGAGCCAUCUUUCAUCUCAGCCUCAUGGUUUCUAGCAGACACAAAAUGACUCCUCAAGGACAGCUGUUACUGCCACAUGUGACCUCAGGUAGUUUCUACAUUCACACUAAUAAUAGCCAUAAAUGGAGUUUAUGUAAUGGCAGCUAUUUUUAUACUAUACAGAGCACAACUAAUUCUGAAUGUUAUGUAAUCCACUAUAUUUAAAAAAAAAAACCCCAUUUAUAUCCAGUUUGGGUCAGACAGUGAAAUGUGACCUGUCCAAACAUAUUGUGCAUCCUUAAAUGUAUGAAUGGUGUGUUUGCAACCAAGGCUGACUGACAUUCAAAAAAUAAAUAAAUCAAUAAAUCAUAUUGCAAUUAUUUUGAAAGAUACUCCGAUAUUACCUGACUUUUCAUCAGCAUGAGGGUGAGUAGACAAUGACUGAAUUUGAGUGAGUAUUGAAGGUUUUUGCUCAUUAUUACUGUGAGAAGAUAUUUUCACAAUAAAUCCAGCAACUAUCAAAUAAUGACAUUUUAUUUAAAAAAAAAAAACAAAAAAAACAAAAAACAACAACAACAACAACAACAACAAAAAGGGAAAUACCCUCAAAUGGUAAAUUCCAUGACUUGUCCACAUCUUGACUGGGAGAACUUUGAAAUCAAUCUUAUUUACAUCAUAAAGAGAAUCAUUUUUUAAAAAACUAAAAAGGUUGUCGAUUUAAAAAAAAAAAAAAAAAAAAA